UUUCUCUCCUCUCUCGAUUCAAGGUCAAUGUCCAAUCUGGGCUCCCAGAAGGCCACACUAAUGAAAAGUCUGAAAUGGACUCGCUGCUUAGUUCACGAGUAUGUAAUGAUGAAAGCAGCCUUGGACUCUCAGGCAUAAAAUGGACGGAAUCUUUGAGACCCUUUGAUCUAGGUUUAUCUUCCUCCCGAAAUAUUAUCAGUGGCGACAGUUUAAGCAUUGGCAGAAUUAUUAGCUAGCGUGGGCUUUUGGCACUGCUGCUCUCGGAGACUGAAAAACUAUUUUUGAAGUUGAAAAUCUACUUUUUGAAAUUGAAAAUCUACAGGAGACCAGGAAACUGAAAAAUAAGAGCUGCAGCUUGACAAGUGGAGGAAGUGAGGAACUACUAUAAGAUAUCAAUUUAACAUUUGCUAGGUCUGUUCAGGCAUUUUGGCUGGGAUGCAUUUGAAAGCAUUUUCAAGGAAGAAUGCGUCAAACAAUCUUGAUAAAUGUUGACGGUGAUGAUGAUGUUCAUAUGGUUCAUAAGGAACCCCUGGUUUCUUGAAUAUCAACCUUCAAAUUUUGUUGUAUUGCACUGCCUUGAAAGUAAUUUGUCAGAAUACAGUGGUCAUGAUGAAGAUUCUUUGUGGAAGGUCCCUUGUAAGAAUGAACACCUUAGAGAUGAUUCUUUUAGAACUGGUAGACCAAUCCUUU